rnacentral:snoRNA from 1 species
GAUAGUUCAAUAUCUGCCAGGGAAAGACAAGUAUAAAAAUAAAUUGUCUUUUGCAACCCAGAACUCAUUGUUUAGCAUGAGUCUUGAUACAUACAAGAAGGAACAUG